AGUGAACGCUGGCGGUAGGCCUAACACAUGCAAGUCGAACGGCAGCACAGUAAGAGCUUGCUCUUACGGGUGGCGAGUGGCGGACGGGUGAGGAAUACAUCGGAAUCUACUUUUUCGUGGGGGAUAACGUAGGGAAACUUACGCUAAUACCGCAUACGACCUACGGGUGAAAGCAGGAGAUCUUCGGACCUUGCGCGAUUGAAUGAGCCGAUGUCGGAUUAGCUAGUUGGCGGGGUAAAGGCCCACCAAGGCGACGAUCCGUAGCUGGUCUGAGAGGAUGAUCAGCCACACUGGAACUGAGACACGGUCCAGACUCCUACGGGAGGCAGCAGUGGGGAAUAUGGGACAAUGGGCGCAAGCCUGAUCCAGCCAUACCGCGUGGGUGAAGAAGGCCUUCGGGUUGUAAAGCCCUUUUGUUGGGAAAGAAAAGCAGCAGGUUAAUACCCCGCUGUUCUGACGGUACCCAAAGAAUAAGCACCGGCUAACUUCGUG
rnacentral:rRNA from 1 species